rnacentral:rRNA from 1 species
AGUGAACGCUGGCGGUAGGCCUAACACAUGCAAGUCGAACGGCAGCACAGGAGAGCUUGCUCUCUGGGUGGCGAGUGGCGGACGGGUGAGGAAUACAUCGGAAUCUACUCUGUCGUGGGGGAUAACGUAGGGAAACUUACGCUAAUACCGCAUACGACCUACGGGUGAAAGCAGGGGACCUUCGGGCCCUGCGCGAUUGAAUGAGCCGAUGUCGGAUUAGCUAGUGGGCGGGGUAAAGGCCCACCAAGGCGACGAGCCGUAGCUGUUCUGAGAGGAUAAUAGGCCACCCGGAAAUGGGGACACGGGCAAGACUCUAACGGAAGGAGGCGGGGGGGAAAAUUGGACAAUGGGCGCAGGCCUGUUCCAGCCAAACGGCGUGGGUGAAGAAGGCCUUCGGGUUGAAAAGCCUUUUGUUGGGAAAGAAAUCCAGCUGGCUAAUACCCGGUUGGGAUGACGGUACCCAAAGAAUAAGCACCGGCUAACUUCGUGCCAGCAGCCGCCGCGG